UGGGGAACACCGGAAGCGGAAGAGAAGAGGCGAGUGCGGCGCCGACGGCGGACAGAGCCGCCCUUCCGGGAGCCGGAGGCUGGAGAGCUGGGGAAGAGCGCUGCCCUCUGGAACUAAGGUCCCCACGCAGGUGGAGGAUGGUAAACUCAGGCUGAGAGCAAGAUUCCUGCAGCACCGCCCUAUUACCUCACCACCAACCAAUCAGAAGAAAGUCUGCACACAGUGGAAGAUAAGGAAGACUCUGACCCUCUCCCCAAAUGAUUCUCCCAGAAUCUUUGGAGUCCGCCUUCUCCCCAGGUUGCUGACCUCCUGAAUAAAGCAAGCUUUUUUUCCAACCA